AUUGAACGCUGGCGGCAUGCUUUACACAUGCAAGUCGAACGGCAGCGCGGGCUUCGGCCUGGCGGCGAGUGGCGAACGGGUGAGUAAUGCAUCGGAACGUGCCCAGUAGUGGGGGAUAGCCCGGCGAAAGCCGGAUUAAUACCGCAUACGACCUGAGGGUGAAAGCGGGGGACCGAAAGGCCUCGCGCUAUUGGAGCGGCCGAUGUCGGAUUAGCUAGUUGGUGGGGUAAAGGCUUACCAAGGCGACGAUCCGUAGCUGGUCUGAGAGGACGACCAGCCACACUGGAACUGAGACACGGCCCAGACUCCUACGGGAGGCAGCAGUGGGGAAUUUUGGACAAUGGGGGCAACCCUGAUCCAGCCAUGCCGCGUGCGUGAAGAAGGCCUUCGGGUUGUAAACCGCUUUUGUUCGGGAAGAAAACCUCUGGGCUAAUACCCCGGGGUGAUGACGGUACCGGAAGAAUAAGCACCGGCUAACUACGUG
rnacentral:rRNA from 1 species